rnacentral:rRNA from 1 species
GGAAGUAAAAGUCGUAACAAGGUUUCCGUAGGUGAACCUGCGGAAGGAUCAUUACCUAGAGUUGCGGGCUUUGCCUGCCAUCUCUUACCCAUGUCUUUUGAGUACCUUCGUUUCCUCGGCGGGUUCGCCCGCCGAUUGGACAAAACUUAAACCCUUUGUAAUUGAAAUCAGCGUCUGAAAAAAACAUAAUAGUUACAACUUUCAACAACGGAUCUCUUGGUUCUGGCAUCGAUGAAGAACGCAGCGAAAUGCGAUAAGUAGUGUGAAUUGCAGAAUUCAGUGAAUCAUCGAAUCUUUGAACGCACAUUGCGCCCCUUGGUAUUCCAUGGGGCAUGCCUGUUCGAGCGUCAUUUGUACCUUCAAGCUCUGCUUGGUGUUGGGUGUUUGUCUCGCCUCUGCGCGCAGACUCGCCUCAAAACGAUUGGCAGCCGGCGUAUUGAUUUCGGAGCGCAGUACAUCUCGCGCUUUGCACUCACAACGACGACGUCCAAAAAGUACAUUUUUACACUCUUGACCUCGGAUCAGGUAGGGAUACCCGCUGAACUUAAG